CCCGUAUAGUGUGGAAUGAGAUGCUCUUAAGUUACUUGCUGUGGCUCAGUAAAAUACAUCUUAACAGUUUUCCAGUUAGCAUUUAAACCUUACCCCUUCUAGCAUUUGAUUAUCUUCUUAACAAGAGUCAAAGGUUUUUCAAAAUCCACACCACCUUUUUGAGCAAAAUAUUCAACUGUCAUCAUCAGUUCACAUGAAUUUAUAACUCAAAAUUUAUAUAUUUACUUUGUAUUUUGCAAAAAUAUGCAAAAAAAAAUAAAAGUGUAUAUUCUACAUCUCCAGAAAGAAGAUUUUUGAAGUUUGUGGAUAGAAAAUAAGUAAAAGAAUCACUAAAAAAUGACUUGUUACGUACUGAACUUGGCAAAGGUCAGGACUGUAGGGAAAACUACAACUUAAGAGGACUAGCCUAAGAUUUAAAUAUAUGGAGCUGUUUGAAGUUUUCAGGCGGCUUUGCUCUCUGAAUGGUAAUGCAGGACACAGCCUGCCAGUAUGUAAAUGACCCUUGGUCUGAGGCUAGAGUGUUCUGGGGAAGAAGAGAGGGAAGAAAAGGACACGUGCUAGUGUCUCUCCCAAGUAAUAUAGGGAGGACAGGUAUGAAACAGUGAAAGGAGCUGUAGCAAAACCGUUUUGUUUCUAAAAGGGUGUCAUUGUUAAUACUUUAAAUAUUAGGAUAAUCUGAUUUCACACCUUUCUUAAUAAACUUCAGUACAUGGCAUACCAUGUAUUAAAUGCCAUCCAUUUGUAUAUACAAAUACUCUGUUAU
rnacentral:lncRNA from 1 species